rnacentral:rRNA from 1 species
AGUGAACGCUGGCGGUAGGCCUAACACAUGCAAGUCGAACGGCAGCACAGUAAGAGCUUGCUCUUACGGGUGGCGAGUGGCGGACGGGUGAGGAAUACAUCGGAAUCUACUUUUUCUUGGGGGAUAACGUAGGGAAACUUACGCUAAUACCGCAUACGACCUACGGGUGAAAGCAAGGGAUCUUCGGACCUUGCGCGAUUGAAUGAGCCGAUGUCGGAUUAGCUAGUUGGCGGGGUAAAGGCCCACCAAGGCAACGAUCCGUAGCUGGUCUGAGAGGAUGAUCAGCCACACUGGAACUGAGACACGGUCCAGACUCCUACGGGAGGCAGCAGUGGGGAAUAUUGGACAAUGGGCGCAAGCCUGAUCCAACCAUACCGCGUGGGUGAAGAAGGCCUUCGGGUUGUAAAGCCCUUUUGUUGGGAAAGAAAAGCAGCAGGUUAAUACCCCGCUGUUCCGACGGUACCCAAAGAAUAAGCACCGGCUAACUUCGUG